rnacentral:rRNA from 1 species
GACGAACGCUGGCGGCGUGCUUAACACAUGCAAGUCGAACGGAAAGGCCCUGCUUUUGUGGGGUGCUCGAGUGGCGAACGGGUGAGUAACACGUGAGUAACCUGCCCUUGACUUUGGGAUGACUUCAGGAAACUGGGGCUAAUACCGGAUAGGAGCUCCUGCUGCAUGGUGGGGGUUGGAAAGUUUCGGCGGUUGGGGAUGGACUCGCGGCUUAUCAGCUUGUUGGUGGGGUAGUGGCUUACCAAGGCUUUGACGGGUAGCCGGCCUGAGAGGGUGACCGGCCACAUUGGGACUGAGAUACGGCCCAGACUCCUACGGGAGGCAGCAGUGGGAAUAUUGCACAAUGGGCGGAAGCCUGAUGCAGCAACGCCGCGUGCGGGAUGACGGCCUUCGGGUUGUAAACCGCUUUCGCCUGUGACGAAGCGUGAGUGACGGUAAUGGGUAAAGAAGCACCGGCUAACUACGUG